rnacentral:misc_RNA from 1 species
AUUAUGUAUAACAAAGGAUUGGAAUUGGAAUAUAGAAAGAUCCCAGAUAUUAUAACUGCCAUUGAUUUCUCCUUCAAAAAAUUUGAAGGAGAGAUACCAGAUAUCAUUGGGAAUCUUCAACGACUUUAUUUGCUUAAUCUUUCCAACAACUUGUUGAAUGGUCAUAUACCAUCAUCUUUAGCAAAUUUUAAAGAGUUAGAAUGUUUGGGCCUAUCAAGGAAUAUGCUGUCAGGAAAGUUACCCCCAGAACUAAGUAAGCUCACCUUCCUUUCUUCUUUUAAUUUUUCUUAUAAUCAGCUUGAAGGACCCAUUACACGAGGGAAACGGUUUGAUACAUUUGAGAGCAAUCAAUGUGAGGGAAACAGGGGAUUAUGUGGAGUUCCUUUGAAAAAGAAAUGUGAAAAUUUUGAGGCGUCACCGCAAGAACGUUCAAAUGUUGUAGAAGAUAAUGAUACGGGCCAGGGGCGGCUCCACAUGUAAUGGUGGAGGGGCCAUCGCCCCCCAACCUUGAAAAUUUGUCCAAGAGUUUGCAUGUGUGCUACAGCGUUCACCUCUCCUCAAAUUUUUAUCUUGCCCCCAAUAUGGGCUCCAAGAUUAUGAGUUAGUCUUUAUAAAUAAUGGGCUAAAUAAUUUUAACAUCUGUAGCCUAUUAUAACCCAAUUUUAAAGAAAGUGAAAAAACUUCAACCCAUUAUUGAAUUCAGUCUAAGAGAUCAAAAUAGAAAAAAUAAUCGUGUUUGGUGUUGGAUUUGCAGCAGGCAAAAGAGGAAAA